GAUGAACGCUGGCGGCGUGCCUAAUACAUGCAAGUCGAGCGAACAGAUAAGGAGCUUGCUCCUUUGACGUUAGCGGCGGACGGGUGAGUAACACGUGGGUAACCUACCUAUAAGACUGGAAUAACUCCGGGAAACCGGGGCUAAUGCCGGAUAAUAUUUAGAACCGCAUGGUUCUAAAGUGAAAGAUGGUUUUGCUAUCACUUAUAGAUGGACCCGCGCCGUAUUAGCUAGUUGGUGGGUAAUGGCUUACCAAGGCAACGAUACGUAGCCGACCUGAGAUGGUGAUCGGCCACACUGGAACUGAGACACGGUCCAGACUCCUACGGGAGGCAGCAGUAGGGAAUCCUCCGCAAUGGGCGAAAGCCUGACGGAGCAACGCCGCGUGAGUGAUGAAGGUCUUCGGAUCGUAAAACUCUGUUAUUAGGGAAGAACAAAUGUGUAAGUAACUGUGCACGUCUUGACGGUACCUAAUCAGAAAGCCACGGCUAACUACGUGCCAGCCGCCGCGGUAA
rnacentral:rRNA from 1 species